ACAACGGCAAUAACAACACCAGUAAAUAACUAAAACAAAGCAAUGUUGCUGAACAAAGUAUAAUGCCGGUCAGUGUAAAUGAAAUAAAAAUCAAAAUGCAUUUCUAUUUGAUUAAACACAAUAAAAAUUUUAAUAAUCAAAUAAAGCGAACUAUAUCAUCAAACUUUGUUUACAAAAUACAAUAAAUACUUCAAAGUAAACAGGAUGGAAUGAUUAAAUGGAAGAGUUAACACAAAAACUUAAGUUCCUGUUUCUAUCAUCGAAUGUUAUUUCAAAGUUUGAUUCGAUUCAAAAAUAACAUAAAAAUAAGAAAUACAUGAGAAAAAACGUUUUCUCUUAUAUGCUAAUGAAAUAAAAUUAUAUAAGAGAAAUACGAAAAAUGUCUGAGGUAUGUAUACAAAACUAAUUAUAUUACGUUAAUAAACUUUCUAUUAUCGGUUUAAAAAUAAGUUGUGUGUGUACGCUGAAAUAUUUUUAAAGUAUAUUGAAAAUUUAAAAAAAAACAAAAAAAA